rnacentral:pre_miRNA from 1 species
AACUUUGACUGUCUAUCUUAUAUUAAAUUUUUUAUAAUUUGUAUUUUUAUUGUUGUUAGAUGAUAAAACAUGAUUAAUAUUUUAUGAGUGACUUGUCUUUUUAUUUUUUUUCAUAAUUUUUUUAAAUAAGACGGACGGUCAAACGCUUACGAAAAGC